rnacentral:rRNA from 1 species
UACGUAGGGGGCAAGCGUUGUCCGGAAUCAUUGGGCGUAAAGCGCGUGUAGGCGGUCCGGUAAGUCCGCUGUGAAAGUCGGGGGCUUAACCCUCGGAUGCCGGUGGAUACUGUCGGGCUUGAGUACGGAAGAGGCGAGUGGAAUUCCUGGUGUAGCGGUGAAAUGCGCAGAUAUCAGGAGGAACGCCAAUUGCGAAGGCAGCUCGCUGGGACGUUACGGACGCUGAGACGCGAAAGCGUGGGGAGCAAACAGG